rnacentral:rRNA from 1 species
GAUGAACGCUGGCGGCGUGCCUAAUACAUGCAAGUCGAGCGAACGGACAAGAAGCUUGCUUCUCUGAUGUUAGCGGCGGACGGGUGAGUAACACGUGGAUAACCUACCUAUAAGACUGGGAUAACUUCGGGAAACCGGAGCUAAUACCGGAUAAUAUUUUGAACCGCAUGGUUCAAAAGUGAAAGACGGUCUUGCUGUCACUUAUAGAUGGAUCCGCGCUGCAUUAGCUAGUUGGUAAGGUAACGGCUUACCAAGGCAACGAUGCAUAGCCGACCUGAGAGGGGGAUCGGCCACACUGGAACUGAGACACUGUCCAGACUCCUACGGGAGGCACCAGUAGGGAAUCUUCCGCAAUGGGCGAAAGCCUGACGGAGCAACGCCGCGUGUGUGAUGAAGGUCUUCGGAUCGUAAAACUCUGUUAUUAGGGAAGAACAUAUGUGUAAGUAACUGUGCACAUCUUGACGGUACCUAAUCAGAAAGCCACGGCUAACUACGUG